UUCCAGCUAUCCCUAUGGUGAAAACUUCUGGAUUUGCAGCAGUGUCUCCUAACACAGGGAAAGGCAAGAUCUGUCCAUCUGCGCCUUUCUACCUUGCUACUAAACCCAGAUCCUGCAAGAGUACAAUCUAAUGCCACCAGAUCCUUAGGAUGAGUGAAGUCUAUUAAAGGAGUCUUUCUUGAAGAAAAAGGUUUAUCAGCUUCUUGUGAUGCAGCAGAGGAUGCAAAGAGCUCCUCACAAUGAAAUCAGUUGGAGGAUGUGAGUGAUUUCUCCUUGCUGCUCUGCUUGUGACUGUCUCAUUGCUGGGGCAGCUCGUGCCAUCUCACACAGAGCUGGAGAAUCCGGAUGCCGGAUUUGGAACUCAUGAUCUUGCAAUCCAGAAAUAUCCUAAGGUUACACAUAGCUGUGAUUACCCAAAAGCCAUCUCCAUGGUCUUUGCAAGAAAACCACAACGUCCCAGGGCUUUUCUCCCACUUGGAAGAAGCUUAUCCUUGUUCCAGUGGACUGAAAUACUGGUGUCAGUUUCCUGGUAUAUGAACUUUUUCCUACAAGGUUUACAGGUAAUAACCACCUGCAUGGGUUGUUUUUCCUUGUAACUUUUAUUAUAGUAACAAUGGGAGUGACUGAUGAAAAACAAAGAUUGUUUACUUAAGUCUUAAAGUAAAUUAAACCAUACUGUAAAUACACUCAGUGUCAGCUGUAACUCCCAGCAGCUAAACUAAUUAUUAAACAGAAUUAAAUAUCAGGAGCUGUAAGAAAUUUAAAACUUCUUUUACCUCUAUUUCUAAGCAAUUCUGAUUUUUACGCUUUGCUGGAAUUCAAGGUUGGUAUGGCUGUGGCAUUGUAAUGGGGGAAAAAAACCCAUUUUUACUGUCUUGUAACAACUUUAUAUUUUUCUUUCAUUUCUCUUAAGAAAUACCAACUUUAACCAAAACCCAUCACGUCAUAUAACUAUUAGAAAUGCAAACAAAGCAUCAUUUUCUAACAAUCUGCUUUUUAAAUCAGCAGCCAAAAAAGAUGAGAAGCUAUAAAUAACAGCUGUGCUCAAAAAUCUUUGCCACACUUUGUCUAUCAAUUUCUGUGCAAUUAAAACUGAAAGCCCAGCAUUCCUAAACCAAAAUCCUUUUUAACAUCCCUUCCCCCUGCUUUUUCUCCCCUUUACUGGAAGUAUCUUUAUUUCUUUUAUUGUUGAAUAAUUUUGAUUAUUUUCCUGUUUUGGUAACUUCUGCAGCAGGAAGACAAAGCUCUCCAUUCUACCUUUACCCUGAAUUAACACUGCUAUUAAAAAAACCCCAAACCCUUCAAAGCAGGAUGCAGCAGAUUUGGAAUUACCUUCCUCAUCCACCUCCAGCCAUUGGGGGUGGACUGGGGCCUCCCCCCCAGUGAUUUAUUCGGCCCAUCCGACGGCGAGGAUUUGCUGGAGGCCUGGAAAGAAAGGAAUUUUACAUUAAACUUUUCAACAAGAAACACAAUAACACUGUCUCUAAAUGUCAGUAGUGAGAAAGCCUGAACCUCUGAAAAAGCUGAGUUUCACCUGGAAAGCUGUAAGAAAACCCCAUUAUCACAAAAAUCCUCUCCUGUUUCCACUGCUGUGUGAUGUGAGAAGGCCACAGAUCACUGAUGCUUUUACACAGUUCUACACAACACUUAGGCUGCAGUGUUCAUAGAAAUUGCACCCCUGUAACAGUGUUUUGCUUUAGGUAAUGUAAUACAAGAAAUGACUGCACUAAUGCAAGUCAAAUGCUGAGUACAAAUAUAUCUAAGAAAAUAAGAAUUUUAACAAAGAUGUAUCUUGUCUCCUAGGCAGGCUUUAAAAAUAUUUUCAGAGAUGUUAGUCUGUCUGUACUGCUAUUGCAGCUGUCCAGAGCUGUGUAUUGUUACCAACAAUAGUGCAGAUAACCACUUUAGCCUUCCUGCACAACCCAAUUCAAUGCAAAUCGCAACUGUAAUCUCCUCAGAUUCAUGUCACUUCACCAAGACAGAGGAAAAAAACUGUGUGAAUAUGAAAAAAAUACCCUCUUCCAUCAUGGUAUCCUGAAUAGGAGGAAGAUGUGUAGCCUCUUCUUCUUAAAUCUGGUUGAAUAAUGCUCUGGAAACUGAAAAAUGAAAACAAUGGUUAGGUGAAUUGAUAGCUAGAUAUAGUUUUUGAAUAUGUUGACUGGAAGAUAAGAAAUGGCCUGAAAAACAGUAAGUAGUGUUUAGGAAUGAACAGUGUAUCUCCUCAUGAUCACUGUUGUUUAAAUCUUGGCAAAUUGUUUCCUAUAUAUGAAAUAAAACCUUAAAUAAUUCCAAAUCACAGUGAA